rnacentral:tRNA from 1 species
AGCGGGGUGGGGAAGCCAGGUAAUCCCGGCGGGCUCAUAACCCGCAGAGCGGUUUCCAUCUUUGCCGAAAGCAAGUGGCCGUAUGUUCAAAUCAACCCCCCGCUA